rnacentral:lncRNA from 1 species
GUUGAGUAGUGAGUUUCUCUUAUAUUGUUGUAUUUUAUUCUCUCAUAGUGAAGCUUGCACACCUGGUAGAGCUAAGCUUGAGGUCGAUCCAUGUAUUUGUAUUAUAUUUUUUAUUUUGUUUCUUCUUUCUUUUUGCUGUAAUGGUGAUAUCAGAUUCUCCACAAUAAUUGGUAUCAGAGCAAGGUGGUAUCAGAGUAUAGGUUGCAAUGGUGGUGAUCGAGAUAGA